rnacentral:rRNA from 1 species
UACGAAGGGUGCAAGCGUUAAUCGGAAUUACUGGGCGUAAAGCGCGCGUAGGUGGUUCAGUAAGUUGGAUGUGAAAUCCCCGGGCUCAACCUGGGAACUGCAUCCAAAACUGCUGAGCUAGAGUACGGUAGAGGGUGGUGGAAUUUCCUGUGUAGCGGUGAAAUGCGUAGAUAUAGGAAGGAACACCAGUGGCGAAGGCGACCACCUGGACUGAUACUGACACUGAGGUGCGAAAGCGUGCGGAGCAAACAGG